CCUACGGGAGGCAGCAGUGGGGAAUAUUGCGCAAUGGGCGAAAGCCUGACGCAGCGACGCCGCGUGAGGGAUGAAGGUCUUCGGAUCGUAAACCUCUGUCAGCAGGGAAGAACGGUCACUGUGCUAAUCAGCAGUGAAUUGACGGUACCUGCAAAGGAAGCACCGGCUAACUCCGUGCCAGCAGCCGCGGUAAUACGGAGGGUGCGAGCGUUAAUCGGAAUUACUGGGCGUAAAGCGCUCGUAGGCGGUAUGUCAAGUCAAGGGUGAAAUCCCCGCGCUCAACGUGGGAACUGCCUUUGAAACUGGCAAACUGGAGUGUGUGAGAGGAUAGUGGAAUCCCAGGUGUAGGAGUGAAAGCCGUAGAUAUCUGGAGGAACAUCAGUGGCGAAGGCGACUAUCUGGCACAUAACUGACGCUGAGGAGCGAAAGCGUGGGUAGCAAACAGGAUUAGAUACCCCAGUAGUC
rnacentral:rRNA from 1 species